rnacentral:rRNA from 1 species
AUUGAACGCUGGCGGCAGGCCUAACACAUGCAAGUCGAACGAGUGGCGGACGGGUGAGUAAUCUCUGGGAAAAGGCCCGAUGGAGGGGGAAAACUACUGGAAAUGGUAGCCAAUACCGCAAACCAUCGGACGUGCCUAUAUGGCAUUAGCAAGUAGGUGGGGUAACGGCUCACCUAGGCGACGCCCCCUAGAUGGUCCGAGAGGAUGACCAGCCACACUGGAACUGAGACACGGUCCAGACUCCUACGGGAGGCAGCAGUGGGGAAUAUUGCACAAUGGGCGCAAGCCUGAUGCAGCCAUGCCGCGUGUAUGAAGAAGGCCUUCGGGUUGUAAAGUACUUUCAGCGAGGAGGCGUUACUCACAGAAGAAGCACCGGCUAACUCCGUGCCAGCCGCCGCGGUAAUUC